AGUUACGGUAUCUACAGAGAGAAGUUGAAAUACACAGUAAAAAUGCAAGCAAUAUUGAAACCAAAAAUAUUGAUUUUUCCCAAACAAUUUGCUGUUGCGAAUACAGUAUUAUACAACAAACAAUACAAAAAGGAAAGGAG